rnacentral:rRNA from 1 species
AUGGCGACACCCUACACACCUAAGAGCAUCCUCAUUACAGGAGCUGCUGGUUUCAUCGCUUCCCAUGUCACAAACCGCAUUGUACGGAACUACCCUGAUUACAAGAUUGUCGUCCUUGACAAGCUUGAUUACUGCUCCAAUCUGAAGAACCUUCUCCCUGCCAGCUCGUCACCAAACUUCAAGUUUGUCAAGGGCGAUAUUGCCAGUGCUGAUCUUGUCAACUUCCUCCUGGUCACAGAGAACAUUGAUACAAUAAUGCACUUUGCAGCCCAGACACAUGUUGACAAUUCUUUUGGCAACUCCUUUGAAUUCACCAAGAACAACAUUUACGGUACUCAUGUUCUUCUUGAAGCUUGCAAGGUCACUGGCCAGAUCAGGAGGUUCAUCCACGUUAGCACUGAUGAGGUCUAUGGCGAGACUGAUGAGGAUGCAGUGGUUGGUAACCAUGAGGCCUCACAGCUGCUCCCCACAAAUCCUUAUUCAGCCACCAAAGCUGGAGCAGAGAUGCUUGUCAUGGCUUAUGGGAGAUCCUAUGGUCUGCCAGUCAUCACUACCCGGGGAAAUAAUGUGUAUGGUCCUAACCAGUUUCCUGAAAAGCUUAUUCCGAAGUUCAUUCUUUUGGCCAUGAGAGGAAAGCCCCUCCCAAUUCAUGGUGAUGGAUCCAAUGUCCGAAGCUACCUCUAUUGUGAGGAUGUUGCUGAGGCUUUUGAAGUCAUUCUUCAUCGUGGAGAAGUUGGACAUGUUUACAACAUUGGAACAAAGAGAGAGAGGACAGUCACUGAUGUGGCAAAGGAUGUCUGCAGGCUUUUCAAUCUUGAAGCUGAUAAAGUAAUCCAGUUGGUCGAUAAUAGACCUUUCAAUGAUCAGAGGUAUUUCUUGGAUGAUGAGAAGCUCAAGAGUCUUGGGUGGUCUGAGCGCACUAGAUGGGAGGAGGGCCUGAGGAAGACAAUGGAAUGGUAUGUAGCUAAUUCUGACUAUUGGGGUGAUGUUUCUGGUGCACUGUUGCCUCAUCCGAGGACACUGAUGAUGCCUGGGUAUGAGGGCUCUGAGGAAAUUAAAGGAAUGCUAAAUCUGUUUACUAACAAUCAAACAAAGAUGGUGGCUCCAACAUCAGAAAGUUCUUCCCAAACGCGUUUGCUCAAGUUCUUGAUAUAUGGCCGGACAGGAUGGAUUGGUGGACUGCUUGGCAAAAUAUGUGAGAAGCAAGGAAUUCCAUACGAGUAUGGAAAAGGUCGCUUGGAAGAGCGCUUUUCCAUUGUCCUUGAUAUCCAAACUGUUAAGCCAACACAUGUCUUCAAUGCUGCUGGUGUUACUGGCAGACCCAAUGUUGAUUGGUGUGAGUCUCACAAGCCGGACACCAUACGUACCAAUGUUGUGGGCACCUUGACUCUAGCUGAUGUUUGUCGGGAGCAUGGGUUAUUGGUGAUGAACUAUGCCACUGGGUGCAUAUUUGAAUAUGAUGCAAAUCAUCCUGAAGGGUCAGGCAUCGGCUUCAAAGAAGAGGACAAACCAAACUUUACUGGUUCAUUCUAUUCAAAGACCAAGGCAAUGGUCGAGGAACUGUUGAAGGAGUAUGAGAAUGUCUGCACUCUGCGAGUCCGGAUGCCGAUAUCGUCUGACCUCAACAAUCCCCGAAACUUCAUCACAAAGAUUAGCCGUUACGACAAGGUGGUAAACAUCCCAAACAGCAUGACUGUGUUGGAUGAGCUUUUGCCGAUUUCAGUUGAGAUGGCAAAAAGGAACUUGCGGGGCAUCUGGAACUUCACCAAUCCUGGCGUGGUCAGCCACAAUGAGAUUCUGGAGAUGUAUAAGAAGUACAUGGAUCCCAGCUACAAGUGGACAAACUUCACGCUAGAAGAACAGGCCAAGGUCAUUGUUGCACCUCGGAGCAACAACGAGAUGGACGCGACAAAGCUGAAGAGAGAGUUCCCCGAGCUGCUAUCGAUCAAAGACUCGUUGAUCAAGUAUGUCUUUGAGCCCAACAGGAAGGUCCCAGCAACUUGA